AAAACCGGUCCCAGUUCGGAUUGUAGGCUGCAACUCGCCUACAUGAAGUCGGAGUUGCUAGUAAUCGCGGAUCAGAAUGCCGCGGUGAAUGCGUUCCCGGGUCUUGUACACACCGCCCGUCACACCAUGGAAGUUGGGGGCGCCCGAAGUUGGUCGAGGAAUAGAUUACCUAAGGCGAAACCAAUGACUGGGGUGAAGUCGUAACAAGGUAAC
rnacentral:rRNA from 1 species